rnacentral:rRNA from 1 species
AAUCAACGCUGGCGGCGUGCCUCAGACAUGCAAGUCGAACGAUUAAAGCUCUCUUCGGAGAGUGCAUAGAGUGGCGCACGGGUGAGUAACACGUAAGUAAUCUACCCUCGAGUGGGGAAUAACGUCCGGAAACGGACGCUAAUACCGCAUAAUGCAGCGGCACCGCAAGGUGACAGUUGUUAAAGAUUUAUCGCUUGAGGAGGAGCUUGCGGCAGAUUAGCUAGUUGGUAAGGUAAUGGCUUACCAAGGCUACGAUCUGUAACCGGUCUUAGAGGACGGUCGGUCACACUGACACUGAAUAACGGGUCAGACUCCUACGGGAGGCAGCAGUCGGGAAUUUUGGGCAAUGGGCGAAAGCCUGACCCAGCAACGCCGCGUGAAGGAUGAAGUAUUCGGUAUGUAAACUUCGAAAGAAUAGAAGAAUAAAUGACGGUACUAUUUAU